rnacentral:rRNA from 1 species
UGCCAGCAGCCGCGGUAAUACGGAGGGUGCAAGCGUUAUCCGGAUUUAUUAGGUUUAAAGGGUCCGUAGGCGGUCUGAUAAGUCAGAGGUGAAAUCCUGCAGCUCAACUGUAGCAUUGCCUUUGAUACUGUUAGACUUGAGUUAUUGUGAAGUAGUUAGAAUGUGUAGUGUAGCGGUGAAAUGCAUAGAUAUUACACAGAAUACCGAUUGCGAAAGCAGAUUACUAACAAUAUACUGACGCUGAGGGACGAAAGCGUGGGUAGCGAACAGGAUUAGAUA